rnacentral:rRNA from 1 species
AUUGAACGCUGUCGGCAUGCUUAACACAUGCAAGUCGAGCGAGCGGCGGACGGGUGAGUAAUGUCUGGGCAACUGCCUGAUGGAGGGGGAUAACUACUGGACACGGUAGCUAAUACCGCAUACCAUCAGAUGUGCCCAGAUGGGAUUAGCUAGUAGGGGGGGUAAUGGCGCACCUAGGCGACGAUCCCUAGCUGGUCUGAGAGGAUGACCAGCCACACUGGAACUGAGACACGGUCCAGACUCCUACGGGAGGCAGCAGUGGGGAAUAUUGCACAAGGGGCGAAAGCCUGAUACAGCCAUGCCGCGUGUGUGAAGAAGGCCUUCGGGUUGUAAAGCACUUUCAGCGAGGAGGCGUUACUCGCAGAAGAAGCAACGGCUAACUCCGUGCCAGCAGCCGCGGUAAUAC